AACAUCGUUUUAAUUGGUUAAUUGUGAACUAGUAAGUGGUGACUGUGAUUAAGUAUGUGCUCAAGUGUAAUGAUGACCAAAAUCUGUGGGAAUGAUGAUUUUUAACACGUCAUGUUUCAUUAAAAAUCCCUGAGGCAAUUGUUGGAAGGUCUAGGUUGUGUUUUGUUUUGUUUUGUUUUGUUUCUUUUGUUUUGCUCGAGGACUAGCAAAAGCUAAGUGUGGGGGAAUUUGAUAGGAGCAUAUUUAUACGACUUAGUUAGCUUGUUUCUUGGCAUUUAUGUUCUUAGUUCGUAGUUAUUUUAGUAUUUUAAGCUAUUUUCGUGUGUUUGUAGGUCCAAAGGGUUAAUGUGGCAAAAAAGUGCAUUUUGGAGCAUUUUUGGGCAUGGAAUGGAUAACAUAUGCUUGGAGCAAAAGGAAUUGACGAAAUUUGAAGUUUGUGCAUCAUCCUCUCCCUAGAAAUAACCAUUUUAGCACACUCAUUUCACCCAACACAUUCACUCAUUACAACCACCCAACACAUUCACCUACCACUACAUCCACUCAUUUCACCCAAC
rnacentral:lncRNA from 1 species